GUCCCGCAGGUGGUCCUGCCGCCGGAACGCUUUGUGGCAGAUGUCGCAGGUGUAGGGCCGCUCGUCCGUGUGGGUCCGCUCGUGGAUGAGCAGGUUGUAGGACUUGGUGAAGUGGCGGCCGCAGAACUUGCAGAUGAACUCCUUUUUCGUCUUGGAGGGCAGGCGGCCCCGCGAGGGCUUCCUGUCCGGGGACAGCUUGCUGAGCCCCGAGAGGGGCGACGGCAGUCCGGGGCCCAGCUUGCCCAGCUCCCCCGCCUUCGGGGGGUCCUCCUGCGUGGCGGCCGCCGCCAGGUUGGCGAAGUCGAAGCGGGGCCGCUCCUUGUGCAGCGCCGGGAGGACGUGGGCCGCGGCGCCCUGCUUGGGGUGGAAGAGGUGCGCGGCGAAGGGCAGCGCGGGGAAGGGGAAGCGCGAGUCCACCAGGCCCUGCGCGGCCGCCAUCUCCGUGAGGGCGGAGCGGGCGAUCUCGUGCACGCCGGGGUAGCCCAACGUCCAGUGGUUCAUGUGCAUGGUUUGCACGGCGCUCAGCCCGUACAGCCCUUGCAGCUGGUCCACGGCCGCGGGGAAGGUGUUGACGGCCUGGAGGAAGGAGUAGUUGGUGAGCUGCAGGGACGGGUGCAGCGGGAUGGGCGCCGGCAGCGCCUUGCUGCCCAUCGUGGCGGGGCUCCGCGGGGCCGUCGGCGCGGGGCGAGGUCCGCAGCGGGCAGCUCCUGCCGGGCCUCCGGCACCUUCACGGGGACAUUAGAUCCACAGCGGGGCCGCUCGGCGGGCCCGGGGCAUGGCGGGGAGGGCCGGGCAGGGCCGGCCGGGCCGGGCGGAACGGGGGGGGGCUGUGGCCGCGGCGCUCCCGGGGCGCGGGGCGCUGACGGCCGCCUCCCGCCCGCAGCCCGCUGCUGCCUUCGAGCCCGGCGAGGCUCGGCGCGCUCUGAGCCGCCCCCUGCCCGGUCCAUCACAUUUACAGCGCUGAGUGGCGGGGAGAGCUGUCCCCGCCCGCCCGCCGCAGGCCCACCCCGCGGCGCGCCCCGACGGCCCGCCCCCGGCCCGCC
rnacentral:lncRNA from 1 species